CGGACCUGCCGCAACGUCCGCAGUGGCCACUGGCCGCGCCGCCGCCUGGCGUGAAGUGUGCGAGGCGAGCGGAGUGAGGGUCGCGGGAUUCGGAUUUCAGAUCGGUCACGUGAGACGUGAGACGUGAGAGCGGAGUGAAGGCUGCCCGUUGCAGCCUGUAGAACUAGCCCUAAAAAGACUAGUUUGGGAUUUCAGUUUACAUUUUGGCUUCAUUUAUUUAUCCAGAACAAUUGGUGGCAGGAAAUUCUAUAAAGAUUAGUUCGGGAAUCUUUUUUUUUAAAGGAUUUUAUUUUUUUAAAAGUGAAAUUAAUUCAUUUUUUCUUGAGAAAAUAGAAAUUUAUUAAAAAUAUGACUAGCUCUAAAAGGUAGAAAUAUAAAAAGAUAAAAUUCUACCCUGGCCUAUUGAGUUUUAUUAGUUUCUUUUCGUGGGCUGGAAAGGACUUGAUAAUUUGGUUUUGGACUCCGCCCACUAUAUCCAAACAGGUUUCUAUAAAGUUAAAUUACAUUACAU
rnacentral:lncRNA from 7 species